rnacentral:tRNA from 4 species
GGGCGGUUAACUCAGCGGUAGAGUGCCAUCCUCACACGGUGGAAGUCACUGGUUCAAAUCCAGUACCGCCUACCA